rnacentral:rRNA from 1 species
UACGUAGGGCGCAAGCGUUGUCCGGAAUUAUUGGGCGUAAAGAGCUCGUAGGCGGUUUGUCGCGUCUGCUGUGAAAACCUAAGGCUCAACCUUGGGCUUGCAGUGGGUACGGGCAGACUAGAGUGCGGUAGGGGUGACUGGAAUUCCUGGUGUAGCAGUGGAAUGCGCAGAUAUCAGGAGGAACACCGAUGGCGAAGGCAGGUCACUGGGCCGCAACUGACGCUGAGGAGCGAAAGCAUGGGGAGCGAACAGG